rnacentral:lncRNA from 1 species
CACAAGACGAGCUGGAUCCUUCUUGCUCUGGGGGUCUCCUCAUGGCCAGUGACCUACCAAUCAAGGAGGUCUUUGUCCUAUGGGGAGCUGCCCUCCUCCUCACAGGGGAUGAGCAGUCUCUUCAGGGCCCUUCCUCUUGACCUGGGGAACCACGCAAAUGUGGCUUCCUUGUGCUGUAAGCACUAACCAUAAGUGGGGUCAUCCCGUCAUGAAUUCAAAGGGAUAGCCGGGGCUGAACGUGGGCCCAAAGCAUUGAUGGGAAAUUCAGAUGAAUGGAUUGGCCACCUGAUAAGACAAGAAAAGCUCUAAGAAUGCAGCGCCGGGGAUGUAGCUCAGUGGUUCCGCCACCUGCCUCACAAGUGCAAGGACCUGAGUUCGAUCUCCAGUACCAAAAAAAAAAAAAAAAAAAAAAAGAAUACAUCCUAUUCUAGCCAGGGUUGGUGGCACACACCUGUAAUCCCAGCACUCAGGAGGCUGAGGCAGGAAGAUCACUGAAAGUUUCAGGCCAGCCUGUGCUACAUAGUGAGUUCAAGGCCAGCCUGAAUUACAUAGGAAGACCCUGUCUCAAAAAGAAAACAAAAAAAUAAUAGAUAAAUUAAAAAAAUUUAAAAUACAGAUGCAUCCUAUUGUGCAUUAGUAUUCCUCUCAGCUGAUGGAAUUAUAGGAGUUUCUCUGAUUUCGAUUUGUUUGUUGCUGUGGCGUUGGGUUUGAACCCAGGUCCUUUCACACACUAAGCAAGCACUUUAACAUUGAGUACUACCCCCAACCCUAGGAGCUUCCAGUGAAUUAAAGCCACAU